GGGGAUGAUCGGUUUCGACAUCGUCUGCGUAACUGCGUGAAGCGGGCCGAGGAUGCAGGGUUAUCUCGUGAACGCCCCCUGCAAACCAAUAACUGCCGAUAAGAAGCAGUCUGACUUCGCCCUCGCUGCGUAAGCGAGCCCGAUAGUCCGUCAGUCCGUGCGUGAUCCCGUCACGGGUACUGGCGUCAUCUAGGGAUCUUGCUGCGUGACGGCGUCUGGACGUCACGCGGGACUCUUUCCAGGCUGGGCCCGUCGACUUAGGUGUCUGUGACAAAGGUCGGGGCCGAGCAGAACGUCUGCACAGACUGCGCCCGGAGAAGCCGCAGCGACCCAGCGAUGGACGGGGGUUCGAUUCCCCCCAUCUCCACA
rnacentral:tmRNA from 1 species